CCUACGGGAGGCAGCAGUGAGGAAUAUUGGUCAAUGGACGAGAGUCUGAACCAGCCAAGUAGCGUGAAGGAUGACUGCCCUAUGGGUUGUAAACUUCUUUUAUAUGGGAAUAAAAUGUUCCACGUGUGGGAUUUUGUAUGUACCAUAUGAAUAAGGAUCGGCUAACUCCGUGCCAGCAGCCGCGGUAAUACGGAGGAUCCGAGCGUUAUCCGGAUUUAUUGGGCUUAAAGGGUGCGUAGGUUGAUUGUUAAGUCAUGUGUGAAAGUUUGCGGCUCAACCGUAAAAUUGCAGUUGAAACUGGGAGUCUUGAGUACAGUAGAGGUGGGCGGAAUUCGUGGUGUAGCGGUGAAAUGCUUAGAUAUCACGAAGAACUCCGAUUGCGAAGGCAGCUCACUGGACUGCAACUGACACUGAGGCUCGAAAGUGUGGGUAUCAAACAGGAUUAGAUACCCUUGUAGUC
rnacentral:rRNA from 1 species